ACAGUUGAUUUAUAAUGGUCAUUUUUUGCUGUACAGCAAAGCGACCCAGUCAUACAUAUGUACACACACACACACAUAUAUAUAUUCUUUUUCCCACAUUAUCCUCCAUCAUGUUCCAUCACAAGUGACUGGUUUGUUAGCCGAAUAGUCAGCUAGUGAUUCAACAGCAAUUUCCUUAAAUGCCUAGAACCAAAAAUGAAGGAAAAAAAGCGUUCAGCCUUUACCAGUGGGUUCUCUGCAUGUGUUUGGGCAUGCCUUCCACGUUCAGCUGGGUGAUUAACAAAUCCAUGUCAGUUUUCUCUUCCUAUGUUGAGCAGAGCCUGAAAAUUAGCCAGAGGUGAGAGUUCAGGGCCCCUUCUUUUCUGAGCAUCUACCUCACCCUGAAUACGCAUGUAUCCUUUCAGUACCCAAAAUAUAUGGGAGCUUUUAAAAGAUUUAGUGUGCAAAUUAUCUCACUCUUCAGCCACCCCCACCCCUGGCAUUUUAGUGUGUCUAUUGUUUGCCCCAACAGCUAUUUCUAUUUCUUUCUCCAGGUCUCAGCAGUUUUUGUUUUUGUUUUGUUUGUUUGUUUGUUUGUUUUUAAAUGAAAGCUCCCUGUAUUGUCCAUCACCUCUGCCUUGGGAAAGUUCCAAGUUAAACAAAAUCGGGCAAGCCCUUUGCACCAGUUCUUCAGGGAAGCACUAAGCAGCUGAAAAUAAACUACCACAAUACUUUAAGAACAAGAUCCAUUCUGCUCCCUUUGGGACCAGGAAACCUACAUCAGAAAUGCAGUUUGGGAGUUCCCAUCGUGGCACAGCAGAAAAAAAUGAGACCAGGAACCAUUAGGUUUCGGGUUCAAUCCGUUGCCUCACUCAGUGGAUCCUUAAUCUGCUGCACCACAAGGGACUCCUGUGGAAGUCAUUUGUGAGCUUAAGAUUAUUUUCCAAUGGGGUGAUAUUAGCAUUUUGAGUGGGCAAAUUCUUUUUUGCGGGGGGUUAUUAGGGCUGCACCCAUGGCAUAGGGAAGUUCCCAGGCUUAGGGGUUGAAUCAGAGCUACAGCCUAUGCCACAGCCACGGUAACGUGGCAUCUGAGCCAUGUCUGCAACCUAAACUACAGCUCAUGGUGCUGCUGGAUCCUUAAGCCACUGAGCGAGGCCAGGGAUUGAACCUGCAUCCUCACAGAUACUAGUUGCGUUCAUUACUGCUGAACCACGACAGGAACUCCUUGAGUGGGAAAAUUGUUAAAGGGAUUGUCCUACACCCUGCAAUGUGUUAGGCAUUCUUGAUCUCCAACAACUAAACACCAAAAGCACUGCUCCACCCAUCCUCAAGUUAUAACCAAAAGUGUAAGUGAAAACCAAACCAAACCAAACCAAACCAAAACUUGACUAUUUCCAAGGCCCCCCUAGAGAAUCAGCACAUGUUGAUGAACCACUGCAUUGGGAAAGUUUUGGUGAUGUUAUGAGGGAGACAGAAAUUAGACUAACUGAAUGAAUGAAACCAGUGAGUUUCUAGGGACAAGUCUUACUGGAAAUUUGACUUAAGUGAGGGAUGUGAGAGAGCAGUAAGCAGGGUCAAGAAAAGGUGUUUUAAAAAUUUUAUUGAAGUACCAUUGAGUUACAACGUGUUAACAUCUGCUGCACAAAAAAGUGAUUCAGUUAUGUAUUUUUAUAUUCUUUUCCACUAUGGUUAUCACAGGGUAUUGAAUAAAGUUCCCUGUGCUAUACAGCAGAACCCUGUUGUUUAUCCAUUCCAUAUACACUGUUUGCAUCUGCUAAUCCUAAACUGCCAAUUCUUCCCUCUCCCACCAACCUCCCCCAUGGCAACCACAGACCCUUUUCUGUGUCUCUGAGUCUGUUACUGUUUUGCAGAUAUGUUCAUUUGUACCAUUUUAUGGCUGCACCUUCGGCAUAUGGAAGUUUCUAGGCUAGGGGUUGAAUCAGAGCUGUAGCUGCUGUCCUACACCACAGCCACACUGGAUCUGAGCUGCACCUGUGACCUACACUGUAGCUUGUGGCAAUGCCAGAUCCUUAACCCACUGAGCGAGGCCAGGGAUUGAACCUGUAUUCUUAGGGAGAUAAUACUGGGUCCUUAACCCACUAGGUCACAAUAGUCCUUAACCCACUAACUCCUUUAUCUUAUUUUAGAUUCCAUAUAUAUCUGAAAACAUAUAUUUGUCUUUCUCAUUCUGACUUGAUUUGCUUAGUAUGAUAAUCCCUAGGUAUAUCUAUGUUGCUACAAAUGGCAUUAUUUCAUCCCUUUUAUUCCUGAGUAAUAUUUCAUUGUAUAGAUGCACCAUGUCUUCUUUACCCAAUGUCACCUCUUAUGGUCAUUUAGGACAUUUCCACAUCUGGGCUAUUGCAGACAGUGCUGCUAUGAACAUCUCUUUUUGAAUUAGUUUUGUCUGGAUAUAUGCCCGGGAGUGGGACUGCUGGAUCAUAUGGCACCUCUAUACUGUUUUCCAUAGUGGCUGCACCAAUUUAAACUCUCACCAACAGUGUAAGAGAGUUCCCUCUUAUCCUCACCCUCUUCAGCAUUUAUUAUUUGUGGACUUUUUAAUGAUGGCCAUUCUGACCAGUGUGUGAUUGCACCUCAUUUUAGUUUAAAAAAAUUUUAUUUUUUAUUUGCUUUUCAGGGCUGCACUUACGGCAUAUGGAGAUUUCCAGGCUAGGAGUUGAAUCAGAGCUACGGCUACCAGCCUACGCCACAGCCAUUGCAACGUGGGAUCCGAGCUGCAUCUUCAACCUACACCACAGCUCACGGCAAUGCCAGAACCAACUGAGAAAAGCCA
ensembl:lncRNA